rnacentral:rRNA from 1 species
UACGUAGGGGGCAAGCGUUGUCCGGAAUUAUUGGGCGUAAAGCGCGCGCAGGCGGUCAAUUAAGUUGGGUGUUUAAGCCCGGGGCUCAACCCCGGUUCGCAUCCAAAACUGGUUGACUUGAGUGUAGGAGAGGAAAGUGGAAUUCCACGUGUAGCGGUGAAAUGCGUAGAGAUGUGGAGGAACACCAGUGGCGAAGGCGACUUUCUGGCCUAUAACUGACGCUG